rnacentral:rRNA from 1 species
ACACGUAGGGGCCUGACGUUGUUCGGAAUCAUUGGGCGUAAAGGGCGCGCAGGCGGCCGUCCAAGUCCGGUGUUAAAUGGUCGGGCUCAACCCGAUCAUGCGCUGGAAACUGGGCGGCUUGAGUCCCGUAGGGGAUGCCGGAAUUCCAGGUGUAGGGGUGAAAUCUGUAGAUAUCUGGAAGAACGCCGAUGGCGAAGGCAGGCAUCUGGCCGGAGACUGACGCUGAGGCGCGAAGGCGCGGGGAGCGAACAGGUUUAGAUACCCUGGUAGUCCGCGCAGUAAACGAUGCGCACCAGGUGUCGGGCGGCAGCGCCCGGUACCGGAGCUAACGCGAUGAGUGCGCCGCCUGGGGAGUAUGCCCGCAAGGGUGAAACUCAAAUGAAUUGGCGGGG